AAUUCGUAGUCUGAAUUUCAGAAAUCCUGCACCGUUGGAUCUGCUCCAUAUCCUACGUGGAGUUACGGGAGAGGCGCUCAAUGUGUUGUUUUUGAGCUCUUUUAUUGAAAAAGAUUUUUCCACCACCUUAUGUUAUGAUCAGAGAAUUAAUAAAAUUAUGUAGCCAUUUCUAAUGCUAUCCCUUUUUUUCAAGAAUAUUUGGAUAAUCCAACACGUC
rnacentral:lncRNA from 1 species